CUCCAAAUAAGUCAGCAAUGAACAGGGCUGGUCAUUUCCACUCUUUCUACACCCUGACCCAACAGCUGCAUCCAUAGAGCACACUAACAGCUAGGGAUAAAUUAUUGUACUGCUUGCCACACUGUCUAAAGACUAGUUAGGAACCAAUUAAUCAUGUAAAGUUUGUUAAAUAGAGAAUACAGUGCUUAAUUUAAGAGUGUAUACCACGGUGCGAGCAGUCAGUACAGGGGGGGAUAACACGGUGGGAGCAGUCAGUACAGGGGGGGAUAACACGGUGGGAGCAG